rnacentral:rRNA from 1 species
GAUGAACGCUGGCUACAGGCUUAACACAUGCAAGUCGAGGGGAAACGACGGGGAAGCUUGCUUCCCCGGGCGUCGACCGGCGCACGGGUGAGUAACGCGUAUCCAACCUGCCUCUGACUGAGGGAUAACCCGUCGAAAGUCGGCCUAAUACCUCAUGGCAUCGUCUGCGGGCAUCCAACGACGAUUAAAGAUUUCAUCGGUCAGGGAUGGGGAUGCGUCUGAUUAGCUUGUUAGCGGGGUAACGGCCCACCAAGGCUACGAUCAGUAGGGGUUCUGAGAGGAAGGUCCCCCACAUUGGAACUGAGACACGGUCCAAACUCCUACGGGAGGCAGCAGUGAGGAAUAUUGGUCAAUGGGCGGGAGCCUGAACCAGCCAAGUAGCGUGCAGGAUGACGGCCCUAUGGGUUGUAAACUGCUUUUAUGCGGGGAUAAAGUGAGGGACGUGUCCUUCAUUGCAGGUACCGCAUGAAUAAGGACCGGCUAAUUCCGUG